UACGGGGGGGGCAAGCGUUGUUCGGAAUUACUGGGCGUAAAGGGCUCGUAGGCGGCCAACUAAGUCAGACGUGAAAUCCCUCGGCUUAACCGGGGAACUGCAUCUGAUACUGGAUGGCUUGAGUUCGGGAGAGGGAUGCGGAAUUCCAGGUGUAGCGGUGAAAUGCGCAGAUAUCAGGAAGAACACCCGUGGCGAAGGCAGUUCUCUGGGUCGGUACUGACGCUGAGACGCGAAAGCGUGGGGAGCGAACAGG
rnacentral:rRNA from 1 species